rnacentral:RNase_P_RNA from 1 species
AGAGCGCACCGCGGCCUUGGUAACAAGGCUGGCACGGCAAACCCCACCUGGAGCAAGGCCAAAUAGGGAAGCAGCGGGCUCUGGCAACAGAGCGCGCAGCGCCGAUCCGCGCGCGCUUCCGGGUAGGCUGCUACAGGUCCACGGCGACGUGGAUCGCAGAGGAAUGAUUACCCUCGACAAAACCCGGCUUACAGGCCGGCUCCCACC